rnacentral:rRNA from 1 species
UCAGGUGGCCGCAGAGAAUAGGCCCAAGCGACUGUUUACCAAAAACAUAGGUUUCUGCUAAGUCGCAAGACGAUGUAUAGGAGCUGACGCCUGCCCGGUGCUGGAAGGUUAAGGGGAUCUGUUAGAGUAAUCGAAGCAGUGAACUUAAGCCCCAGUAAACGGCGGCCGUAACUAUAACGGUCCUAAGGUAGCGAAAUUCCUUGUCGGGUAAGUUCCGACCCGCACGAAAGGCGUAACGAUUUGGGCACUGUCUCAACAACAGACUCGGUGAAAUUGUAAUUCCGGUGAAGAUGCCGGAUACCUGCGACAGGACGGAAAGACCCCAUGGAGCUUUACUGUAGCUUGACAUUGGGUCUUGGUACUACAUGUACAG